rnacentral:pre_miRNA from 1 species
GAAACAGUUUUUGGAUUAUGUAGUAAGUAUACAAAUAAUUCUGUGGGCCACUGCCAAACUAUCUUUCAAAGUGGCUGUACUAUUUAGCAUUUCUACUAGAAAC